rnacentral:rRNA from 1 species
GACGAACGCUGGCGGCGUGCCUAAUACAUGCAAGUAGAACGCUGAAGGAGGAGCUUGCUCUUCUGGAUGAGUUGCGAACGGGUGAGUAACGCGUAGGUAACCUGCCUGGUAGCGGGGGAUAACUAUUGGAAACGAUAGCUAAUACCGCAUAAGAGUAGAUGUUGCAUGACAUUUACUUAAAAGGUGCAAUUGCAUCACUACCAGAUGGACCUGCGUUGUAUUAGCUAGUUGGUGGGGUAACGGCUUACCAAGGCGACGAUACAUAGCCGACCUGAGAGGGUGAUCGGCCACACUGGGACUGAGACACGGCCCAGACUCCUACGGGAGGCAGCAGUAGGGAAUCUUCGGCAAUGGACGGAAGGCUGACCGAGCAACGCCGCGUGAGUGAAGAAGGUUUUCGGAUCGUAAAGCUCUGUUGUAAGAGAAGAACGAGUGUGAGAGUGGAAAGUUCACACUGUGACGGUAUCUGACCAGAAAGGGACGGCUAACUACGUG